rnacentral:piRNA from 1 species
UCAUUGCUAAGCUACUUCCCUCCU